rfam:Trichinella britovi scaffold1930s, whole genome shotgun sequence.
GAUGACAAGUCGUUGCGAUAGUAAUCCUGCUCAGUACGAGAGGAACCGCGGGAUCAGACAUUUGGUUCAUGCGCUCGGCUGAAAGGCCGGUGGCGCGAAGCUAGCAUCUGCAAGAUUAUGACUGAACGCCUCUAAGUCAGAAUCUUUUCUAGUCAUUGGCAACGAUAAGUUGCGUCCAGACUCGAUGCGAGGAAACGAUUAGGCUUUGCUAUACGGCGAAGCCAUUAUCAGACCACGGUAGCAGGCAGUAUGGGAUUGUUACGAAAAAGCAAUUUUUUGAAGUCAGUUGAAUUCAAUCAAACUGCUAACAAUUCCACUGCGAAUGACUCCAUUCGAAUCAAUCGAAGCACAGCGGUCAGGAUGUCGAACAUUUUGCAGACGACAAAAAUACCGGUUCAGGUGUCGUAAUCAGUAGAGCAGUCAACACACUGCGAUCUGAUGAGACUCAUCCUUGUAAUCGAUUUGCUCGU